GGGCGCGAGAUCCCGCGAGAGCCGAGGUCGGAGCCUCUUCGGGAGGCGAGCGCGGGCUCGCGGCCGGGCUGGGUGGCCACAGGAAUAGCAGUAAGAAAAAAAACUCACAACCCACGGUCGUCUGGAGCAUGACCGAUGCCUAGAUGCACAGUCACCAAGAGAAGAGGGUGGGGACCCUGGAAGGCUGCUGGUCACUGUUGGAACUCAGAUGCCCUCUGAAUACACCCCGAGUAGCUUCUCACAGUUGGAACCGGAAGUACAGCCACGUUAUGGGCAAAGUAACUGCUGUCUGUGAACUGAUCAAAUCGGUCAGAAGGGAAAGAAGCUAUUGGCCUAAGGGCUGAACCCAGCAGAGGAAGCUGCCCAGAGAGCAUGUCUUUGUAAAGGGGACAGAAGUAUUCAGGGCACCAGUGUUUCCAAGUUGAACUUCCUUGUUGAAAUUCACUUCGCACUC